rnacentral:rRNA from 1 species
AACGAACGCUGGCGGCAUGCCUAACACAUGCAAGUCGAACGAGACCUUCGUGUCUAGUGGCGCACAGGCGCGUAACGCGUGGGAACCUGCCGUUAGGUUCGGAAUAACACAGAGAAAUUUGAGCUAAUACCGGAUGAUGUCUUCGGACCAAAGAUUUAUCGCCUUUAGAUGGGCCCGCGUUGGAUUAGCUAGGUGGUGGGGUAAAGGCCUACCAAGGCGACGAUCCAUAGCUGGUCUGAGAGGAUGAUCCGCCACACUGGGACUGAGACACGGCCCAGACUCCUACGGGAGGCAGCAGUGGGGAAUAUUGGACAAUGGGCGAAAGCCUGAUCCAGCAAUGCCGCGUGAGUGAUGAAGGCCUUAGGGUUGUACAGCUCUUUUACCCGAGAUGAUAAUGACAGUAUCGGGAGAAUAAGCACCGGCUAACUCCGUG